rnacentral:lncRNA from 1 species
CUGAAACUAGGAGAUGUGAGUUGGAGACUUUUCUUUUUUAUGAAUGAUAUGAACUCUUCACUUUCUGGGCCUUAGUGUUUGUAGUUACCAUGUACAAAAGACUUCAGUAGUAGAUAGGAGACCUUCGGGGAGCAAAUCUGAUCACAUGUAUAAACUCCUGCCAAAUUGCCAAAGGAAAGGAUUUGAACAGAGGAGUCUCAGAAAGCAACUAAACCACCCGGAAUCAUAGUGGGGGUAAAAACAAUCAAGGUUAGGACUGGGCUGGAAAUGAGACCUGUUUGUGCUCAC